UACGAAGGGUGCAAACGUUGCUCGGAAUUAUUGGGCGUAAAGCGCACGUAGGCGGCUUUGCAAGUCGGAUGUGAAAUCCCUCGGCUUAACCAAGGAAGUGCAUCCGAAACUGCAGAGCUUGAGUACUUAAGAGGAUCGCGGAAUUCCCGGUGUAGAGGUGAAAUUCGUAGAUAUCGGGAGGAACACCAGUGGCGAAGGCGGCGAUCUGGGAAGAUACUGACGCUGAGGUGCGAAAGCUAGGGGAGCAAACGGG
rnacentral:rRNA from 1 species